rnacentral:misc_RNA from 1 species
GUGAAUCAUCGAAUCUUUGAACGCAAAUUGCGCUUUCUGGUAUUCCGGGAAGUAUGCCUGUUUGAGUGUCAGUAUUCUCUAUAAAUCGGCUUUGUUGCUUUUUGUGUUGUUUCGGGAGUUUGGGCUAUCGUAAAUUUUUUGGUUAAGGGGCUUAAAAUUGACCUUUUUUGCGCAUUUUUAGACGUACAUAAUUUUUUUUUUUAUUCGUCUAUUCUUAAUGCCAAAUUUUUAUUAGAUUCGAUCACUACGUG